CGAAUAAACGGGUUAGUCUCCGAGGUGCCACAAGUCCUCCUGUAUCCUCCUGCGCGGAUACAGACUCACAGGGCUGCUGCUCGGAACCCGGCUCUAUGUAUUUU